CCUGACAAUCUCUACUGCUCCUCGGCCCACACCCACAGAGACUCCUCCCCACAGUGUGUGGGACCCCUGGCCCCUCUCUGCGGGCACGUGAUCCGGAAGGCAUUGUCUCCUUGUUCACAGUGAUUGUCUUAGGUUACACUGGCAGGCAGGACAUGAGAGAAUCAACAAGACAGACCAGGGGCAUCCUGCAACACUUCCAGAUCUGUGCAGAACAGGGUAACAGUGAGAACACCAAAGAAAUAUUUUUGGCUGUAGACUGGAGGAUACAGCAGGAAGCUUUACUUCUCACUGUCUCUCAACAGCAACAGUAAACUUGCUCCCUAAGAGGCCAUGAUUACUUUGUAUCAGAUGUGUAUUUGCCAGCAAGAUUACAUCCCUGCUGAGGUCUUUGCAAACCAUCAGUGGUCACAUGACAUUCUGAGCAAAUAGCAAUUAGCCAAAUUGGCUGAGUUUGCAAUUGAAAUCCUCCUGCCUAGUUUCCCUAAAACUCACCCAGCAUAGUUUACCAGCUUUUCCUAGAGUCAAUUACAAACAAGGAGCAAAAUAUGACUAGAUUCACAACAAGUAAUGAAGUGAGAGUACUAAAAAGUGAGGAAAAGGAAAUAACAAGAAUCGAUUUAGCACUUUUGAAACAUAAGGAUAUUUUUCCUGACAUGGAUGUGAGAAUGACCUACAGUGCUUCUCAUGCUUAUAACAGAUGGAGCAAAGUUGAUUUCCAUCAUUUAGAGUAUGCAUCACCAUUCAUUCUCUCAGAGUGCUAAGAGAAUGUCUCAGCAAAUAUUGGACACCCCGGGGGUCUAAACUGUUGCUUAAAAUGAAACUCACUGAUGACCAUGACUUUGCAAGUGUUGGAUGCGGCUACUAUUCUUAUGGGCCACAGUGUCAGCGGUAUAAAACCAAACACUACCAGCUGUACUCUUCCAACAGUUUGGAGCAAUAUUUAAAUCUUUACACUGUAGAGGUACAAAGCCCGUUGCAUAAAAGUUUAUAUGUUUAUUUAAACUCUUCAGUAAUAGCAAGUUUCCACAAAGAAUCCAAACAGAUCAAAAAUGCUCAAUGUCAAACUUGCCAGGUGAAAAAGCAAGCACACUAACACACACUAACUCGCCUUCCUGCUUUGGUUAUUAUAUAACAGGCUGCCUUAUGACUGCUGCCUUGCUCUUGGGCCAGUAUUGCCUAUCUUGAGAUCACUUUCGAUACUCCUAAGGUAAAGGAACACCAAACAGAAGUCAUUUAUCUGACAAAGGACCUUGUGUUUUUCUUAUUCUAUCAAUCAUUAAACUGGUAAUGUCUUUUAGGUUAUUGCUUUGACAUUCAUUAACACUCACGUAAGAGGAAAUCUUUGCAAUUACAAAUCCUUUUGACCACCUAAAGUUGUUUUGCCUUGAUUUGCUACAGUUUUUUUAACUGACCCAAUAGCACUAAGAUGGGUUGGGAAUUACCCGGUGGUUCAACUCUCAACUCGAGGUGUCUCUUUUAUGACUCAAAUGCAGUGGAUACACAUACUUGUCUGUAAAAAAUCAGCUUUCGACAUCUCGGUGUUAACUUUCAUGGCAAGCUUGACUGACUAUCUUAAGAGGAAGGAAUACUUCAGAAAAACACUACAAGGCUGCUGUGUUGUCAUAGGUAUUCUUCCUCUUGGCAAAUACACAAACCCUCAGGAGAGUUUCCACUAAAAAUUCAAAAGGCUCAUUAUCAUCUCUAAUGCCUGAAACAUAUUUUACAUAAGUUUCUUAUGAUUUGAAACCACAAACAGAAACAGAGUAAGAUGAGUGUUCAAUAUGACAAAGUGAGAACUUGGAAUAUCAUAGGGUAGCUUGUUCACCACUAAACCACGCCUGUUGUGAGAACAUCACCCAUAAAACUGAUUAUACAUCAUCCACAGCCACAUUAUCAUCCGGCAUUGAGAGAAAUCAAACUGAACAAACACUUUUCCUUUUAAUAAAGAGUAAUUUAGAGGGUGGGAGAGGAGCGAAUUUCCUUCUUGGAAAAAUUCAUGUGUUAUAAAAACGUCUUUUAUUUAAGGAGUGGAUUAACCUCAUUUUAUCUGUGUUUAUAUUCUACCUACUUUACAGGGAGUACAAUAGGAUGGCAGUAGACAUCCAAAUACUUCUCUAAUAUAUAUCAUGGUGUUAUCAAUAUGAAAACCAAUAAGUGUUUCUUUAUAUGUUUAACUAUUAUCUUGUUAUUUAUAAUUUAAUUAAACUAUGUAGUAGUUCAUUAAAAUCAAAGACUGAAUUUGGCCUCAGGGUACUGCAAUGAUUUACAAAUACUUAGUACAGAAUAUUUUGCAUAGAUUCUCUCUCUCUCUUAAGAGUCAAAUUCAAUCAAAACAAGAAGACACGGGGCAUGGAAUUAUCGGAAUGUAUUUGUUCACUCAACAAACACUUGGGAAAGACACUGCAUGAGAGACAUCACAGCUGUGCUCAGAAGGAAACACUACACUUCCCUCUACACACAGGGAAGUGAUUUUACCUGUAGGAUAACCAAGUUCAGGGUUUCAGGAAGUGAACUGUAAUAGAGUUUUAAUGUCCUUUGGGCCCUGCCUCGGCAUUGUUCAUUUUCAGUAAAUGAAAGCAAUACGGGCUUUGCAAAGGGAUUUUAAACUAUUACAGGGGAAACUUAGAAACAAAUCCAAUACCACCUUAGAUGUAAGAUUCCAGGAACUACUCAUCUUGUGGAGAUCUUUAAUCUGAAACCACGGCAGGUUUCAUGAAUAUUUAAGAAGCAAAGACUCAAAGAAGACAGUUGAAGGGAAAAUUGCUGUUGGCCGAUUUUUAAUAAAUAGAUUCUUUCUAGGACUCCCAGUUCUCAGUAGGAAUUGCCUCAAAGACACUUUCCACCUAUAAUCAUUACUCAAGGAUUAGGACUCAAGACACCACACUCGGGAGGCCUAUUUAUUGCAGACAGAUGGGUAGUGGUUCAAAAAGCAGCUCUCCCAGUGUGAAGACAGACUAUAAACCUGCACCCAACCUGAGGCAAAGGGGGGGGGGGUCUCAGCUCCCCACCCAACACACACCCACACUCAAGUUUCUCAGGACUUCCCUCCCCCAUCCAGGCCUUGGUUGCUUUCCCCUCCUCAUCUUGAGAUAAAAUUAGGUGAAGAUAUAAGCAUGGUGUAUAAGAUUAUGUCACUAGAUUUGGGGUUGAGUGACCCCUGUGUUGUUUAUUAGUAGCAUGCAGUGGACAGAACAUUUAAUAUCUUUUAAAGUAAAAUUCACCCCAAGCAGGCCAGAGCCCAUCUCAAAGCCCUCCUAAACCAGGAAUCUGAUCCACAUAAACUUUUCUCUGCAGAACUUCCUGUACCAUCACCACAUUCCAAAUAUGCCCGUAUACUGCUACAGGAACGUUGACUCCCAUAUUUUCAUUCCGAUUGAGUAUUCAUUAAAGAAUUCAACAAAUU